GACGUAGGGCGCGAGCGUUGUCCGGAUUUAUUGGGCGUAAAGAGCUCGUAGGCGGCUUGUCGCGUCGUCCGUGAAAACCCGUGGCUCAACCCCGGGCCUGCAGUCGAUACGGGCAGACUAGAGUGCGGUAGGGGAGACUGGAAUUCCUGGUGUAGCGGUGAAAUGCGCAGAUAUCAGGAGGAACACCGGUGGCGAAGGCGGGUCUCUGGGCCGUAACUGACGCUGAGGAGCGAAAGCGUGGGGAGCGAACAGG
rnacentral:rRNA from 1 species